CCUACGGGGCGCAGCAGUGGGGAAUAUUGGACAAUGGGGGGAACCCUGAUCCAGCCAUGCCGCGUGUGUGAAGAAGGCCCUCGGGUUGUAAAGCACUUUCAGUGAGGAAGAACGCCUGGUGGUUAAUACCCAUCAGGAAAGACAUCACUCACAGAAGAAGCACCGGCUAACUCCGUGCCAGCAGCCGCGGUAAUACGGAGGGUGCGAGCGUUAAUCGGAAUUACUGGGCGUAAAGCGCGCGUAGGUGGCUUGAUAAGCCGGUUGUGAAAGCCCCGGGCUCAACCUGGGAACGGCAUCCGGAACUGUCAAGCUAGAGUGCAGGAGAGGAAGGUAGAAUUCCCGGUGUAGCGGUGAAAUGCGUAGAGAUCGGGAGGAAUACCAGUGGCGAAGGCGGCCUUCUGGACUGACACUGACACUGAGGUGCGAAAGCGUGGGUAGCAAACAGGAUUAGAUACCCGGGUAGUA
rnacentral:rRNA from 1 species